rnacentral:tRNA from 1 species
UGGGCAAUAGUUCAAUGGUGAGAGCGGGUGUCUUAUACACAUCUGAUCCGAGUUCGAUUCUCGGUUGCCCUAUCA